rnacentral:rRNA from 1 species
UACGGGGGGAGCAAGCGUUGUUCGGAUUUACUGGGCGUAAAGGGCGCGUAGGCGGUCAGCACAAGUCAGUUGUGAAAUCUCCGGGCUUAACUCGGAAAGGUCAACUGAUACUGUGCGACUAGAGUGCGGAAGGGGCAACUGGAAUUCUCGGUGUAGCGGUGAAAUGCGUAGAUAUCGAGAGGAACACCUGCGGCGAAGGCGGCGCUCUGGGCCGGUACUGACGCUGAGGAGCGAAAGCGUGGGUAGCAAACAGG